rnacentral:rRNA from 1 species
AUACGGAAGGUCCGGGCGUUAUCCGGAUUUAUUGGGUUUAAAGGGAGCGCAGGCGGAGAUGCAAGCGUGACGUCAAAUUUCGGGGCUCAACCCCGUCUCGCGUCGCGAACUGCGUCCCUUGGUUGCGGGAAGGGGAGGCGGAACUCGUGGUGUAGCGGUGAAAUGCAUAGAUAUCACGAAGAACUCCGAUCGCGGAGGCAGCCUUCCGGCCCGUCAACGACGCUCAUGCUCGAAGCUGCGGGUAUCAAACAGGAUUAGAUACCCUCGUAGUCCGCACAGUAAACGAUGGACACCCGCGGUUUGGCCUAUAUGGCUGAGCCGCCAAGCGAAAGCGUUAAGUGUCCCACCUGGGGAGUACGCCAGCAACGGGGAAGCUCAAAUGAAUUGACGGGG